GACGAACGCUGGCGGCGUGCUUAACACAUGCAAGUCGAACGAAGAGCGAUGGAUUCUUGCUUCUAUCAAUCUUAGUGGCGUACGGGUGAGUAACGCGUAAUCAACCUGCCCUUCAGAGGGGGACAACAGUUGGAAACGACUGCUAAUACCGCAUACGAUCUAAUCUCGGCAUCGAGGAUAGAUGAAAGGUGGCCUCGACAUGUAAGCUAUCACUGUAGGAGGGGAGUGCGUCUGAUUAGCUAGCUGGGGGGGUAACGGCCCACCAAGGCGAUGAUCAGUAGACGGUCUGGGAGGAAGGACGGCUCAAAUGGGAACUGGACCCGGCCCAGACUCCCACGGGAGGCAGCAGUGGGGAAUCUUCCGCAAUGGACGAAAGUCUGACGGAGCAACGCCGCGUGGGCGAUGACGGCCUUCGGGUUGUAAAGCUCUGUUAAUCGGGACGAAAGGGCUUCUUGCGAAUAGUGAGAAGGAUUGACGGUACCGGAAGAGAAAGCCACGGCUAACUACGUG
rnacentral:rRNA from 1 species